rnacentral:rRNA from 1 species
CGUAGGUGACCUGCGGAGGGAUCAUUACAAGUGACCCCGGUCUAACCACCGGGAUGUUCAUAACCCUUUGUUGUCCGACUCUGUUGCCUCCGGGGCGACCCUGCCUUCGGGCGGGGGCUCCGGGUGGACACUUCAAACUCUUGCGUAACUUUGCAGUCUGAGUAAACUUAAUUAAUAAAUUAAAACUUUUAACAACGGAUCUCUUGGUUCUGGCAUCGAUGAAGAACGCAGCGAAAUGCGAUAAGUAAUGUGAAUUGCAGAAUUCAGUGAAUCAUCGAAUCUUUGAACGCACAUUGCGCCCCCUGGUAUUCCGGGGGGCAUGCCUGUUCGAGCGUCAUUUCACCACUCAAGCCUCGCUUGGUAUUGGGCAACGCGGUCCGCCGCGUGCCUCAAAUCGACCGGCUGGGUCUUCUGUCCCCUAAGCGUUGUGGAAACUAUUCGCUAAAGGGUGUUCGGGAGGCUACGCCGUAAAACAACCCCAUUUCUAAGGUUGACCUCGGAUCAGGUAGGGAUACCCGCUGAACUUAAGCAUAUCAUG